AUUGAACGCUAGCGGGAUGCUUUACACAUGCAAGUCGAACGAGUGGCGGACGGGUGUGUAAUAUAUCGGCACGUGCCCAGUAGCGGGCGAUAACUACUCGAAAGCGUGGCUAAUACCGCAUACUCUUGGAGCUGUCGAUAUCGGAUUGGCUAGCUGGUGGGGUAAACGCUAACCAGGGCAACGAUCCGGAGCUGGGUUCAGAGUACUACCGGCCACACUGGGACUGAGACACGGCCCAGACUCCUACGAGAGGCAGCAGGGGGGAAUUUUGGACAAUGGGGGAAACCCUGAUCCAGCCAUCCCGCGUGUAUGAGAAGGCCUUAGGGUUGUAAAGUACUUUUGGCAGAGAAGCGGUAUCUGCAGAAUAAGCACCGGCUAACUACGUGCCAGCCGCCGCGGUAAUUC
rnacentral:rRNA from 1 species